GAUUUUGGACCAAAAAGCCUAUGACCAAUUAAAGCUUAUCUUUUUAAUCUGAAACUAAGUGGAUAUAGAAAAAUUUGGUCUUCUUAAACAAGUGUCUCUAUCAGAGUAAAGAAUUAGAUUGCAAGACAUGUACCACUGCAAAGGAUAACGAGCUCAGUUCCAAGUUUUCUAAAGAAUGAAAUGGUCAUUUACCACAGAGUAUCAAAGUUGAUUGCUCUGUUUUGAAAUAUCAUUAAACCUUUGAAUUUUCCAUUAAAAACUCAUUGUAAAGUAUCCAUAAAUUGAGCUUGAUGUUAACAUAUACUUCAUAAAUCUGAAAUUCAAUUUGAAAUCAAAAUCCACAAUAAAAAGUAUACACUUUAAGCACUAAAAUAUGAUUUAGAGAUUUUUUUUUUUCUCUGGUAAAUAUGUUAUGGUCUCUACUUUUUUCUUCAAUUUGUAAGAAUAAUUUACUUCUCACUAGAGUUUUGAGUCAAGGAGAAGUAUUAUGACCUUACAAAUGCAUUGGGGAUCAUCUUGGAGAAGAUUCAGCCUUUUGCUUUAACAAGCAUCACAUACAUUCCAUACCGGGGAUGUGAACCAAAGUCAAGGAAAAAUACCUGUAAAAGUAACCUCUACUGUGUUAAUCUCUCUUGUUUUUAGCGAGUCACUAUAGUGGUGCAUAUGUAUAAACACAUAUGCACAUAUGUAGAAUUACUAUAUAUUUUACUGAUAAUGACAUACGAAGUAACCUCGUUACCAGAGCGGCACCCAAGAAAUUGAAAUCUCAAUGGAAGGAUUUGCCACCUAUAAUUGCGAAAUCUAUUAACUAUCCCUUGGCAAGAAGAUAGAAAAAGAGAGAAGAAAAAGGAGAAGUUGUGACCAUGUAAAACCACAUGUAUGAAGAGUCCACUGGAAGACAACAUAGGAAGUUGCUCCAUACGCACACAUAUAUAAGUCGCAUACGCAAGGAAAUGGCUGAAACAUCAGUCAGAAGAAAGCUGUCAAUAAACUUGUUCAAGCAAAGAAAAGCGGUUGAAUCCAACAAUAUCCAUUGGCUAGAAUGAUUAAGUCGUCUCCAUUGAAGACAUACUGAUAUGUUAAUAGGUGAUACUGUGAACUUACUUGGCUAUUGAGUGCAGAAUCAAUAAUGAGAAAACAGCAUUCGCGCUGUGUGUGCAUCCAAUCAACUACCAAGCAUCACCAACAAAAUAUCAAUCGCAAUAACAUGUAAAAAGCCAUUUUCUCCAGCAAUUCAAAAUACAAAGGAAAUAUGAAGAACAUAAAAUGAACAAUAUUCAGACAGUAAGGAAUCACACAUGCCCAAUUUCUGUUAAUAAGUGUCUAAUUCACAUCUGCUGUUUGAUUAUGACAGUAGGAUACAAAAAAUUGUCCUACUAUCUCUUUCUUUCCCUCAACUUUUAUGUCGUUCCAAUUCUUUUUGUUCUUUCAUCAGUCUAAGUUGGUAUUUCUCUACACCUACCUUCUCCUUGCCAUUCUCCAUAUUACUCUAUUCCUCUCCUCUCAAUUUAUCAAAUUCGAGGAAAUUCCCCCCCCCCCCUUUUUUUAUUUUUAUAUAUUCUACAUACAUAUGUAUACAGUGUGUCUCAAUGAAGCGAUCUAUUGGAUUUCAAUGACUCACCUUCCAAACAUUCAAAAAUACGCUUUUUACCUCUAAUCUUAUAACACUUAACCCUUCAAAUUUACCAUUUUUUUAUAUUAAAUCGCAGCAAAUUAUUAUGACUCCAUUUAGGCCCAUUACCUAUGAAAAUAUGCCUGGGUCUCCAAUUUACCUUUAACCACUCUGCCAUAAGGCAAUGAGGGUAAAGAGAAGGCCUCCACCCUUGUUUACCCUAAAGGGCAAAUGUAAAGCCGUGAGAUCCUGAAAUCUUGUUGAAAUCCCCUCCAGAAAGUUGAACAAUACAUUGCACAGUAGCAGUGGCUAAGGCAAACACCUUGAAGCAAAACCUCCUGUGAUAGUCUUAAUUUUCCAUACAGCAAGCUUUUGAAGUACCCUUUCCUUGACAUAGCUAACAAUUCAGACUUUGAUUCCAAUUUCAGCUGGAAGACCCAAAUACUACCCAAGUCGGCAUUAAAUGGUUAGUGAAAGAAUAUCAUUGAGCUCCCUUCUGAAUUCUGGUAUUGUAUAUUGCUAAAAAAUAGACCAGAUCCGGUAAUGUAUGAAGUUGUCCAGAUGACUUCUGCGUAUUCCCCAGAAUAUUGUAGAUGGUUUGCACGGCAUCCCCUCGCUGCAUGUGAAAAAUUUGAGUACGUCAGCCAACAAUAGGCGACCAAAUGCAGGACUUCCGUUGUGCUUUGGAUCCCGUGAAUCCACAUUCCUUAUCUCCGCCUUCUUGCCCAUUUCGGAAAGAAUUCAGAACUAAUAAAAAACAGGUAUGGAAAUAAAGGAUCCCUUGGCGAAGGCCCCGAGAAGCAAUAAUGUAACAGUUGGUUGCCUCUAGAGAGCAAACCGAAAAGCUCAUCGAAGUGAUACAACCCAUGAUCCAUUCAAAUUCAUUUAGAAGCAAAACCCAGCUUGACCAUAAGAGUCUUACAUACACAAUGAGAGCCUUGUAUCUAAUGUAAGGCUAAAGAAAUUUUUUUUCAUAUCUGCAAUUUUUCAUAUAAUGGUAUUAUUUGCGCUAUGAAUAGAUUAUAUGAAAUCAUUCUCCUUGUUACAAAAAGCCUCCUGACUAAUUCAUCGGCAACACCGUUGAAGUUUGAAACUAGAAAUUUGGCUAGCAAUUGUAUGUAGAGUUUACACUAAUGGACCUGACGGUCGAAGUUGGUUCAUGUUCAUCGGGACAUUGAACUUUAAAGGAUAGCACGAUGAGUAUAAAUGAUACUACGAAGAAGCUUACCAGAGUGACAAAAAUCCUCACCGCACCACAAUGCUAGGCCCCCAACAUAUUCAAUUGUUGCUGAAAAAAAGAUGGCUCCCAUACCGUCGGUCCGGUGAGACUUAUAGGAUGCAUUUUUGAAACACAUCUUUUUUAACUUUAAGUGUGAAAGAUGGGUCUGGUCAGGAAAUUGUUCUCUCAGCCGAAAGCCAAUGAUCCCCCAUUAAAGAAUGUCCUCAAUAAUCAUGUGCUCUUCUGAAGUAAAUUUUUUGAAAGUAGUUGAUGCCGAUUGCUAUAUAAGAAAACAACCUUAUCUCAUUCUCGCCAUACUCCAGAUUCAUCUUUUAGCAAAUCAAUAUAUUUGCUGCCUUCGCUGAAACUGUCGAGAAUAAAAAACCUAAAAAAACCUUUCGAAAAUCAUCCUCCAAAAAAAUUCCUAAAAAAUACUUGCAAAAGUAUUCCGGAAGUGAGUUACUUUUUUGUUUUGAGAGUUAAAAAAAUGUAAAAUUUUUAAUAUAAAUUGAGAAAUCACACAGCAUCAAAAAUGGACAAGAGGGAACGUUCGUAACGUCGUUAUCAAGAGGUUCAUUGCUUGAAGUGUCCGCCUACCACACUGGAUCAAAAACAAAUAAUAAAGUCCAGACACCAAAAACGUACUUUAUGAAAGACCAAGCCAUGUUCUUUCAGGCUGCCUUUCCUUCAUUAUUUGUACCCCCUACUCCUUUCUAUCUCUCUCUAUGUAUAUAAUAUAUAUGUAGGAUAUAUAUUAUGUAUAAUAUUUGCAAUGGAGUUGAAUGCGUCAUGAGGAAGAACGAUUUUAGUUUUCAAGGCUACCAUGCCUAAUAUUGUGAUAAAUGAACUGUUAUUUAUUAAUUUUAUUUUGGUUUAUAUGCCAUUCACACAGAUAUAUGCAUAUGUUCAUCUUCUAGCUUGAUUUCUUUCAUCUUUCCUCUAUGUCUUCUGAUCUUUCUCAUGUGCUCUGAAAUUUACAAAAUAUUAUUUUCUAUUAGUUUGAACGAAUUGGGAGUGCAAGAUUGGUAUAAAUCAUGAAUAUUCAGGCCAGUUCUCAAACAGAAAGACGGGAAGAUCGUCCAAGCGAGGAAAACAACGAAGGACUCAAAAAAAAAUCACACACAAUCACAAUACCAACAAAUAAAUCAAACUAAUGGACUAAAUUCUUGAUCUAACACUUUACCCUUCCUAAAGUGACAAAUCUGAAACCUAGAAACUAUACGAACGUAUAAGUACCACAAGUGAAGAAGACGCGAGAAAUAGAUUUUUUAGAGAGGGAGAUGGUUUUGCAAAUCUAGGGCUUGUUUAGUAGUUUGGGUCAGUGUGGAUGACGUUAUUGAUGAGAAGAAAGAUUCGGUGUGGUUCCUCUCUUGGUACUACACUUUUCAAUUCGUUGAAAUGGUUUGAGAAUUUUGAAACACUUGAGGUUCUAUCACGUGAGAUCUGUUCCAAUUUUUCAUUUUACUUACCGCCCAAUCGUUAUUUGUUUUCAUAUAAAUAAAUAGUUUCGAUGUAUUUUCUUGGGAUAAAGAGAUAGCGAGAGGUGUGAGAGUGCAAAGUAGUUGGAAUUCACAGAAGAUAGUGCCGGCAGGGACCCAUAGGCAAUUAUUCAGUUUCUGACUCCCAGCUUCCCAACAAACCUUAACAACUUUCUAAAAAAUAACUUGAUUCCGGAAAAACACUUUAAUUCCAGUUGUGGUUCGGUGACUCUUGCCUUAGAAAUUGCCCAAAGCUACCUCCCAAUGGACUUACAUUCCAAAUCAAACCAAUUGGACAAAUCCACCACCUAACUUAAAGACACACUCAUAUUCACCCUAAACUCUAGCACAAAAUGUAAAUCAAAUCCAUUAAGAUCCUAAAUCGAGAAAGAGAGAGAGAGAGAGAUCCUAGUAUGUGGGCCAAGGGUGGGCUUACGUUGUGGGACAAAGGCCCCUAAUUUUGUGUGUUACCCCCAUCAUAAUGCAUAACAGAGCUAACACAUUCAGGUUAAUACUAACUUUCAUGAAAAUGAAGACCUCUCUCCUUUUUCUUUCCCUUCUCGCCAUCAUUUCAACUUCUACACGUUGUGAGUGAAAAAGGAAGUACUUAUGUUCACUUCUCACGGGUUCAGACUUGGCCUAACACAUUGUGCUUGAUUUAUAGUGUAAAAUGUGAGGUAUUUGGGCUCCAACACUUCACCUUGGCUCAUCAAGUUUGGCUUGAUGCCUUGAAAUAAUAUAUUUUAAAUUAGUAUAUGAACAAUACACGUUAAAUAAUUUAUAUUCACACACAACAGGUUUAUAAUAUAAAAUACAUCUAUAAUCCUCCAAUUAAAGUGAGCUUCAUAGAGUUGGGCUCUUCCUCAUUAAUUUAGACCAAAGUUUUAAAUAUCUGAGGUAAGUAUCAAUUUUUCGGACCUUCAAUGUCGAUAUUUACCAAUAUACCGGUUGAUACUUUUUCUAUAUCAGCUCAUACAUGGCCGUAUCACCGAUGCCAAUAUACUUUGUAAUACCAUUAUUCAAGCUUGAUUCAUAUACACAACCAAAAAAGCUCCAACCAACUAACAAACAAGCAGAGAGCUCAAGAGUUAGGCUCAUUCUUCCUCAAGCUCGCUACUUUAAUUAUUGAGCUCAAAUUUAGAGCUUAAGAGAUAGGUUCAUUCCACCUCAAGAUUGCUCAUUUUAUUAUUAAAAAAAUAAUAAUAAAUUAAAAAAAGAUUCUAGAAAGAAUAUUAGCGAGAGAGAUGUGAGGCAAUUUGGCGGAAAACUAAGUUACUCGAUUUUCUUGAUUUCGUGUCUCGUUCUGGUAAUAGCUCAUCCUCUCCAUGGAUAGUCUUAAUCUUUUGUGUGAUCUAGGGUCUGGCUUUCCUCCUCUUAAGUGAAAUAUUUCCUCGAUGUUUCUUUGGCAACGGGUAGGAUUUGUAUUUCUGGAUCGAAGGGGAAAUCGCAGGCGUCUCCAUUGGUUAUUGAAGCUUCUAUCUAUUGAUCAGAGGGGUGGUGAUGCUGGGGUAAAACAAAACCAUUGAAUUGCUUACUUGGUAUUUGUGGGAAUAACUUUUGUUGUUCAAUUUGUUGGAUGAGGAGACUAAGAAGAAGUAUGAGGAUCUGAAAUACGAUGAAACUAGUGCGAGGCAGAUUAAACCUUUAACUUCAAAAAUACUUACGUUGAGGAAGGAACGUAAGAAGAAGAAUGCUUAUGGGGAAAUUGCUAAAAGCCCUCUGGAAUAUUUGUUGGCUGAGACGACUAUGAAGGUUAGUAAUCCUAGCUUUCAAUGGAAGGAUAUGCUAAAAGGAAAUAAUGUUGAGAAUUACCAUAUGAAAUUAGAAGUGGGGGAUUGUGGUGCCAAGCGCUUGAAGAAUUGUGUGGUUGGGAACUUAACGUUACCUUUCAAGGCUGUUAAUACCUUUGUGUUUAGAAUCUGGGCUAAAUUUGAUUUGUCUGAUGUGUUAUCUAGUGAUAAGGGAUUCUUCUUUUUCUUGUUUGAUAAUGAUAUGGCAGUUAGGUAUGUGGUGGAGGCAGGGCCCUGGCACCUUGGGGGACGCCUAUUGAUUUUGAAACAAUGGUCUCCCCAGAUGAGUUUUGAGAAGGAUAAGGUGACUAGUGUCCCUAUUUGGGUUCAAUUUUACAAUGUGCCUCUUGAUUACUGGACUGAGAAAGGGCUUAGUUAAAUUGCUAGUUGUAUUCUAAUUGCUGACUCCAGACUGGAAGUUUAAAUAGCUUAGCUAUGCUAAGAUUUGUAUUGAGAUUGGGUUGAUUCUAAGCUUCCUUUUACCUUAGAUCUGUGUUUUGCAAAUGGUGAAUCUAUGGAAGUGUCAGUGUGGUACCCAUGGAAACCCACUGAGUGUUCAAGCUGUGAGGUUUUUGGGCAGAGGAAAGCUCUGUUUCUACACUCGAUCUAGCUACAAUUGUCUGCUUGUUACUCUUACAACUCACUAGAUUCCCCCCACACACAGAGAAAUGUACAAUAUCCAGUGGUAAACCUUUUAUCCGAUGGAGAACUUGUCCAAUCUGAAGCAGUGAAUGCCUCAACUCACAGGUGACUUCUGUUUCCCAGUAAGUAGACCAUGUUCAGGAUGAGCUUUGAGGUAUCUAAUGAUCUAAUGAGUUGCCUCCCAGUGUGAGGUACGAGGGGCUGAUAUAAAUUGGCUAACAACACUAACUGCAAAUGAGAUAUCCGAUCGAGUUAUAGUAAGGUAGUUCAACUUCCCUACUAAGCAUCGGUAAUUGUCCGGAUUAGUCAUAAGUUCCCCUUGAUCAACAAACAACUUCUCAUUAUGAUCCAUAGAGUAUCCAUAGGCUUCGAACCCAUCAACCCAGUCUCAUCAAGAAUAUCCAACACAUACUUCUGCUGCAACAGGCUAAUUCCUUCCCUAGAACGUUCCACCUCUAUACCUAGAAAAUACCGCAACUUUCCCAAGUCUUUAGUAUGAAACUGUGUCCAGAGAAAGAUAUUCUACUCCUCUAUCCUUGUACUGUCAUCCCUGGUGAUAAUAAUAUCAUCCACAUAAACAAUCAAGAUCACUCUCCCUUUGUCCAGAGACGGGAGAAAAUAGAAUGAUGGCCGGACAACUCUUCAUCCCAAACUGCACAACAACAUCACUAAAUUUUUCCAAACCAAGCUCUAGGAGACUGUUAGGACUGCCAAAGAUCCUCUCGGAGAAGAUAUACCCGGCCAGACUCCCCCGGAGCA
rnacentral:lncRNA from 1 species